AGGGGUGUAGCUCAGCGGUAGAGCAUCGGUUUCCAAAACCGACGGCCGGGGGUUCGAUCCCCUCCGCCCCUG
rnacentral:tRNA from 1 species